rnacentral:rRNA from 1 species
UACGGAGGGGGGCUAGCGUUGUUCGGAAUUACUGGGCGUAAAGCGCACGUAGGCGGCUUUGUAAGUUAGAGGUGAAAGCCCGGAGCUCAACUCCGGAAUUGCCUUUAAGACUGCAUCGCUAGAAUUGUGGAGAGGUAAGUGGAAUUCCGAGUGUAGAGGUGAAAUUCGUAGAUAUUCGGAAGAACACCAGUGGCGAAGGCGACUUACUGGACACAUAUUGACGCUGAGGUGCGAAAGCGUGGGGAGCAAACAGG